rnacentral:lncRNA from 1 species
AACAGGUGUAACACCACUAAUUCAGGCCCGGCCAGAAAGCACAUACCAGAAAGUAGUACAUAUUUAACACAAAAUAGUUCCUACGCAUGGACAUAACUUUCAAUAUAUUUAGAAUAUUUUAUAAAUUUUGGUAUCAAAUGAAAGCUGCAUGACUGGUGAGCAUUGCAGAACAAUUUUUGACUGAUAAAUUUGAAUAAUAAAAAAAUGGCAUGAAAUUUUAAAAGGAGGGUACAUUUUGCCUUUUUGUCAGAUCGGACGUACCUGUUUUGGUACAUCCGAAGUUCCGGGAACCAGUUCUUUCUUAUAUGCAAUGUAAGGUAUGUUGAUUUUUUCAGUACAUGACACCAGAAGGUGUUGCUUUCACAUGCAAUGAUUGUCACUUUAUUUGAACUUAAGAUAAAAGAGCUGUGACCAC